AAAGUGGAGCAAUCCAUGAGUAAAGUGGCGCACGGGUGAGUAACACGUGACUAACCUACCCUGGAGUGGGGGAUAACUGAGGGAAACCUUAGCUAAUACCGCAUAAUACCUACGGGUCAAAGGAGCAAUUCGCUUCAGGAGGGGGUCGCGGCCGAUUAGUUAGUUGGCGGGGUAAUGGCCCACCAAGACAGUGAUCGGUAUCCGGCCUGAGAGGGCGCACGGACACACUGGAACUGAAACACGGUCCAGACUCCUACGGGAGGCAGCAGUGGGGAAUUUUGCGCAAUGGGGGAAACCCUGACGCAGCAACGCCGCGUGGAGGAUGAAGUCCUUCGGGACGUAAACUCCUUUCGAUCGGGACGAUUAUGACGGUACCGGAAGAAGAAGCCCCGGCUAACUUCGUGCCAGCAGCCGCGGUAAUACGAGGGGGGCGAGCGUUGUUCGGAAUUAUUGGGCGUAAAGGGUGCGUAGGCGGUUUUGUAAGUCUUAUGUGAAAUCUAUGGGCUCAACUCAUAGACUGCAUGAGAAACUGCAGGGCUUGAGUAUGGGAGAGGUGAGUGGAAUUCCUGGUGUAGCGGUGAAAUGCGUAGAUAUCAGGAGGAACACCUGUGGCGAAAGCGGCUCACUGGACCAUAACUGACGCUGAUGCACGAAAGCUAGGGGAGCAAACAGGAUUAGAUACCCUGGUAGUCCUAGCCCUAAACGAUGACUGCUUGGUGUGACGGGUACCCAAUCCCGCCGUGCCGUAGCUAACGCGUUAAGCAUUCCGCCUGGGGAGUACGGUCGCAAGGCUGAAACUCAAAGGAAUUGACGGGGGCCCGCACAAUCGGUGGA
rnacentral:rRNA from 1 species